UACGUGGGGUGCAAGCAUUAUCCGGAUUUACUGGGCGUAAAGGGUCCGUCGGCGGUUAAUCAAGUCUUAGGUUUAAGACUGGGGCUCAACUCCAGAACAGCCUGAGAAACUGAUUAACUCGAGUUUGUUCGGGGUAGCUGGAAUUCUCGGUGGAGGGGUGAAAUCCGUAGAUAUCGAGAGGAACGCCAAGCGCGAAGGCAAGCUACUAGAACACAACUGACGCUCAGGGACGAAAGCUAGGGUAGCAAAAGGG
rnacentral:misc_RNA from 1 species